UACGUAGGUGGCAAGCGUUGUCCGGAAUUAUUGGGCGUAAAGCGCGCGUAGGUGGCUUCGUAAGUCCGUUGUGAAAACUCGAGGCUCAACCUCGAGACGCCGAUGGAAACCGUCUGGCUAGAGUCCGGAAGAGGAGAGUGGAAUUCCUGGUGUAGCGGUGAAAUGCGCAGAUAUCAGGAAGAACACCCGUGGCUAAGGCGGCUCUCUAGUACGGUACUGACGCUGAGACGCGAAAGCGUGGGGAGCGAACAGG
rnacentral:rRNA from 1 species